rnacentral:lncRNA from 1 species
CUUUGUAUAGCCCUGCUAGGUGAAUUGCACCUAUGUUUCCAUUCAUCCAAGUCACCCCAGCUCAUACCAAACACUCAUUCACAACUAGUUUGGUUUGCAUCAUUCUACAACUUGAUUCCAAUUAGUUUGGUAAUCCUUGCAGCAAAAGCACAGGCCAGCACCGCUUGAUGCUUGUGCUUUUCAGUUGACAACACUAGGCAUGCGAUUUUUUUGUGGAUUUUAGCUAUUCCUAUCCACCAGGCUCUUGUAGUUCAUGGGUCUGUGUAUUUCGUUUCCAUGGUUUCUCUUUAGAAAGAGAAUCAC